UCUUCUUCGCCGGGGACCAGGCCGCGGCCGCGCUGCCGGAGGAGCAGGAGGCCGGCGGCCGGGUGGUGGAAGAGGAGGACUCUUUGUUCGCGGGCCUGGGGGAGCUGCCCGAGUACUCGGUGGUGCUCCGCCGGGGCCUGGCGUCCGCCUCGUGGGUGGGGACCACCGGGUGAGAGUGAGCCCCACCCCACCACAUCCCUUGGCAGCCAGGCCGGCCGUCGAUCCGAUCGAGGGGAGCCCCGUGCGCCGUACGAUUGGCUAAUCUUUCUCGGUAGUCGACGUCUCAAAACUGCCGUCUUCCCGAUAUUUUCUUCCUCCUCCCUUUCAUCCAUGGC
rnacentral:lncRNA from 1 species